rnacentral:rRNA from 1 species
UACAGAGGGGGCAAGCGUUAUUCGGAAUUAUUGGGCGUAAAGGGCGCGUAGGCGGCCUGGCAAGUGGAAGGUGAAAUCCCUCGGCUUAACCGAGGAACUGCCCUCCAAACUGCUUGGCUUGAGUCCGGGAGAGGUGAGUGGAAUUCCCAGUGUAGCGGUGAAAUUCGUAGAUAUCGAGAGGAACACCGGUGGCGAAGGCGGCGAUCUGGACGAUGACUGACGCUGAGACGCGAAAGCGUGGGGAGCAAACAGGAUUAAAUGACCUUACCGUUAGUCAGAUCC